rnacentral:rRNA from 1 species
AGCGAACGCUGGCGGCAUGCUUUACACAUGCAAGUCGAACGGUAACAGGCCGCAAGGUGCUGACGAGUGGCGAACGGGUGAGUAGUGCAUCGGAACGUGCCCAGUCGUGGGGGAUAACGCAGCGAAAGCUGCGCUAAUACCGCAUACGAUCUAUGGAUGAAAGCGGGGGACCGUAAGGCCUCGCGCGAUUGGAGCGGCCGAUGUCAGAUUAGGUAGUUGGUGGGGUAAAGGCUCACCAAGCCAACGAUCUGUAGCUGGUCUGAGAGGACGACCAGCCACACUGGGACUGAGACACGGCCCAGACUCCUACGGGAGGCAGCAGUGGGGAAUUUUGGACAAUGGGCGCAAGCCUGAUCCAGCAAUGCCGCGUGAAGGAAGAAGGCCUUCGGGUUGUAAACUGCUUUUGUACGGAACGAAACGGUCCGGGUUAAUACCCUGGGCUAAUGACGGUACCGUAAGAAUAAGCACCGGCUAACUACGUGCCAGCCGCCGCCGUAAAAC